CCUACGGGAGGCAGCAGUGGGGAAUAUUGCACAAUGGGGGAAACCCUGAUGCAGCGACGCCGCGUGAGUGAAGAAGUAAUCCGUUACGUAAAGCUCUAUCAGCAGGGAAGAAAAUGACGGUACCUGAGUAAGAAGCCCCGGCUAACUACGUGCCAGCAGCCGCGGUAAUACGUAGGGGGCAAGCGUUAUCCGGAUUUACUGGGUGUAAAGGGAGCGUAGACGGUGCGCCAAGUCUGGAGUGAAAAGCCGCAGGUUAACUGCGGAACUGCUUUGGAAACUGGCGAACUAGAGUGCGGGAGGGGUAAGCGGAAUUCGUGGUGUAGCGGUGAAAUGCGUAGAUAUUAGGAGGAACACCGAUGGCGAAGGCAGCUUACUGGAGCGUAACUGACGUUGAGGCUCGAAAGCGUGGGGAGCGAACAGGAUUAGAUACCCCAGUAGUC
rnacentral:rRNA from 1 species